CAGCAGUGGGGAAGUAUUGCACAAUGGGGGAAACCCGUGAUGCAGCCAUGCCGCGUGUGUGAAGAAGGACCUUCGGGUUGUAAAGACACUUUCAGUAGGGAGGAAGGUAGUGUAGUUAACACCUGCAUUAUUUGACGUUACCUACAGAAGAAGCACCGGCUAACUACCGUGCCAGCAGCCGCGGUAAUACGGAGGGUGCGAGCGUUAAUCGGAAUUACUGGGCGUAAAGACGCAUGCAGGCGGCCUGUUAAGUCAGAUGUGAAAGCCCGGGGCUUAACCUCGGAAUUGCAUUUGAAACUGGCAGGCUAGAGUCUUGUAGAGGGGGGUAGGAAUUUCAGGUGUAGCGGUGAAAUGCGUAGAGAUCUGAAGGAAUACCAGUGGCGAAGGCGGCCCCCUGGACAAAGACUGACGCUCAGAUGCGAAAGCGUGGGGAGCAAACAGGAUUAGAUACCCUGGUAG
rnacentral:rRNA from 1 species